GAGGUGCUUCUGUUUGAACUUGAUAGGCUUGGCAUCCUGUGAAAACUGCUGGUUUUUUACUGAAGGCUUGGCAACCUGUGGAGUCUGCUGUGAUAGGCUUGGCAUUCUGUGAAGAGUGCUGGGGACAUGUUGAGGAUUGUUCGACGUGGGUGUAGAUUGCAGAAGAGGGGAUUCUUGCUAGAAUUCUGGUUUUUUUGUGUGCAGCU
rnacentral:lncRNA from 1 species